rnacentral:rRNA from 1 species
CCUACGGGUGGCUGCAGUGGGGAAUAUUGGGCAAUGGGCGAAAGCCUGACCCAGCAACGCCGCGUGAAGGAAGAAGGCUUUCUGGUUGUAAACUUCUUUUGACAGGGGAGAGAAGAAGACGGUACCUGUCGACUAAUCCACGGCUAACUACUGGCCAGCAGCCGCGGUAAUAGGUGGGUGGCAAUCGUUGUCCGGAUUUACUGGGUGUAAAGGGCGUGUGGCCGGGCUGACAAGUCAGAUGUGAAAUCCGGGGGCUCAAACCCCGAACUGCAUUUGAAACUGUUGGUCUUGAGUAUCGGAGAGGCAGGCGGAAUUCCUAGUGUAGCGGUGAAAUGCGUAGAUAUUAGGAGGAACACCAGUGGCGAAGGCGGCCUGCUGGACGACAACUGACGGUGAGGCGCGAAAGCGUGGGGAGCAAACAGGAUUAGAUACCCCAGUAGUC